CUGGCCUCUCCCUCUGGACGCAUCUUGGGUUCCCCAGCGGCAGACGGGCUGAUGCUGUAUCACUCGAAAGCCACACUCAGCUUUGCUCUUUGCUAAGGUUAGACCAUGUGCUUGGAGCUGUAUGUGAUACUGAAGAAGGCGUGGUCCCUGCCCAAAGAAGUUCAUAGCUGAGAGGCCCAAACAUACAAGAUGGAAAUCAACAGGGAAAGCAAGACAAAGGACCUUCCUUCUUCUUAGCAGAUGUCUCCUUCUGUGGACUUAAAUUGAGAUUUGGAUGCAAUUUAUUUCAAUCUUCCAUGUCCUGGUCACACAGAACAUGGAAGUAUGAAAUACUUCCUGGUCACACAAAAGUAUGCAUUUCAUCUCCAUGUAUAUUUUAAGGUAUGGAAGAAAAGUAUCUUCCUGCAUUACUGCUUCUGAUUGUAUUAAGAAAAUUAAUAGUUCUUAUUUCUGCCACAA